GACUAAUGAGAGUCGGUUCUGUCUCUGUGGACAGAUGAGAGUCUGUUCUGUCUCCGUGGACACAAUGGAGUCUGCUCUGUCUCUGUGGACACAAUGGAGUCUGCUCUGUCUCUGUGGACACAAUGGAGUCUGCUCUGUCUCUGUGGACACAUGAGAGUCUGUUCUGUCUCCGUGGACACAAUGGAGUCUGCUCUGUCUCUGUGGACAGAUGAGAGUCUGUUCUGUCUCCAUGGACACAUUGGAGUCUGCUCUGUCUCUGUGGACACAAUGGAGUCUGCUCUGUCUCUGUGGACAGAUGAGAGUCUGUUCUGUCUCUGUGGACACAUGAGAGUCUGUUGUGUCUCUGUGGACACAAUGGAGUCUGCUCUGUCUCUGUGGACAGAUGAGAGUCUGUUCUGUCUCCAUGGACAUAUUGGAGUCUGCUCUGUCUCCAUGGACACAUUGGAGUCUGCUCUGUCUCUGGGGACAGAUGAGAGUCUGUUCUGUCUCCGUGGACACAUGAGAGUCUGUUGUGUCUCUGUAGACACGUGAGAGUCAGUUCUGUCUCUGUGGACAGAAAAGAGUGUUUUCUAUAUCUGUGGACACAUGAGAGUCUGUUCUGAUACAUCUAGGAGUCGACAAGGACACCCAACACUCAAGUGUCUUGUGGACGACUGGGUGUCAGUCUGAUAGUUGUGAACAUCUGGGAAUCUGCUGACGUCUAUAUGGAGACACCUGCUUAUCAAUUGGACACCUGUAAGUACAUGAAUGUCUACAAGUGGACACCUGGAAGUAUAUCAUGUCCCUAUGUGGACACCUGGAAGUAUAUCAUGUCCCUAUGUGGACACCUGCUUGUCCAUUGGACGCCUCGAAGAAUAUUACUAUUUCAAAUUGUGACACCUGAACCUACAUUACCAUCUCUAAGUGGACACCAGGAAGUACCUACUGUCUCUUAGUAGACCCCCGGUGGUCCAUUCCGUCUCCUAUAGCACGUCCACAUCGCGGACGGUUUGACCUCGAACAAAAAGGUUCACGAGUUCCAACAUUUGCGCUCGUGUUUCUCGGUUGACUUGUGACCGAACAUUUGAUUUUUGUUUACAAGUCUUUGUGCCGACGCCACAGUAAAAGGUCACUGAGUUUUACGGCGCGGGGUCUUUUUAUUAUUUUUUUUUCAAUCGGCGUGCUGGCGAGCUGGGGUUUGGCGAAUAAGUCGGAGUGAUACCCGAGCGCCUGACAUCGGCGGAGGAGGAGGAGGAGGUGGAGUCACGUCCGGCGGGGUUUCGGGACUCGCUGUCAGCCGGCCUCCAGUUUGACGGGCUGGCGAGGGGAAAAGGCCAGAGCUCCGCGAGGAGGGCGCCGCCCGGGUUCCGAGGGGACGUCCCAGCGCCACCGCGUUUUUGUGCAGAUGUAGCCCCCCCGGUGGCUCCUGACCUCAAAAAGCUGGCAGGGCCCGGCGAGCGUGGGCCCGAUCGAUUGAUCUAAAUAACAUUAUGACGGGAUUAACAUAAAGGGCCCGUGGAGGGGCCCCGGCGCCCCCCCUCCCUCCACCCUGACAGGCCGGACCACCACAGCAGGCGGCGUCACGGAACCACGGAUCAGAGAGCCACAGAAAUCCAUCUGGAGAGACUCUCCGCCGCAGCCAAAUGCGCUUAUGCAGAUUAUCGCGCAUCCAGUCAGAGGAAACAACAGAAAUUACCAUCAGCUUCAUAAAAUAGUGCAGAUUUAUUUCCUGUGCAUUUUGAAUAAUUUCCACCGAAAAACUCUAAAAGACGUUCCUUUGAUAUAACUUCUAAUUUGUUGAAGAGAAAGCCCACGAACCGUCAAGAGGAAAAAAAGUUUCCAUUAAUGAACGACUUAAAGGUCUUUUCAGGAGACUAUUAUGUUUGUUCUAGCAAAAGGGAGAAUAAGUAGAUUACUUAAAAUAAAGAGGUCAGUUCCCGAGAUGAGCUGAAAAAAAUGUUCAUGUUAUAUAAAAUUAGGUCAGAAAUCUUUCAAACAACUCAUAUUAAAUCUACUGAAUGGCCUUUGGAUAAAAAUAUAAAUGUAUGAGACGCUGGUUGCUAGUUACAAAUGCUAACACUUUAGCUAUGACGGUACAAGCUAACACGUUAACCAUAAGUGAACAUACAUAUAGAACAUUGUUAAAUUUAGAGGAUGUGUUGAGAGCCUCUGUGUACAUAAUAGUAUAUAUAAAUAAACGUGUGUUAAAGUUCUUAACCGGUGGCUAUGCAGAGUGCAGCGGCAGCGACGUGGCGUGGCGGGGCGGCGUGGAGGCGGCGGCUCAUCCAUCAUCGAGGCCUCACACAGAUGAUUAAUCUGCUGUUGGAGCCUCACAGCUGUGAGCGGAGACCCAGGGGGCGCUGUGGAGACGCCACCGCUGCUAUGGGAGGCGCGUGUGUGUUGGGGGGGGUUUUAACAUACUAAAUAUACCUGUAUGUAGGAUGAAUAUGUCAUAAAUGUGUGUGUGUGUGUGUGUGUGUGUGUGUGUGUGUGUGUAAACCUGUCCACAUGUGUAUUGCGGUCAUGCCUGAGUGCUUGCGUGCGCUUUUAGCUUGUUAGCGGCGGCGCUCUGUGGGUGCUAAUGUCUGUCUGCUGGAGGGAUUAUCGUCUUUUCACUCUAAUCCAAAGUGGUGCAACAAAAAAAAUCGUCAAAACAUUAAAAAAAAUAACAAAUCCAUGGUUUGUUUAUUAUGUCAUUUCCUGUUUGUUUGGUUGCGUUUGUGUUAACAGAUGUUUGCUUGUGUGUGUUUGGGUUUAACAUCCACAAGGGACUGGCUGGACAUCCCUCCACCUUUGGUAAUCCGGGGGAACGUAACGAGUCUUCCUUUCUCUCCCAGUCUUCAUCAUCAAGCACCAAGCAAGUUUUUAUUAUUGUUUACACUGCUUUCAUGUGGCUUAUUCACCAGCGUUAAUUUACAUACUCUACUUCGGCAGAAUGAUUAAACCUGUGAUGACGAUUAAUCAGUGUAUUGUUUUUAUAUAGCGGAGAAUGUGAUAACAGCGUGUGGAAAUAAAGCGGAUGAUUUCAGUGCGCGAGGCUCUCUGCGUGCAUGUUUGUGUCCUCACAGUCCAAAGCCUUUGCUUCCCUUCCAGGAGUUUGCAUCGUUACAAUCUUCCUCCUCGGCGGCGGCGAGCACUCCCACCGGGGCUUCUGGGUAGCCAUCGGCGAGGGGGGGUCAACGAGGCAAACGGAGCGGUGGUGGAGCAGUCCGGUUCGGUCGGGUCUGACCCGGAUCAAAGAGAGGGAAGCUGUUCCCUGAUGGUUCACCUGCUUUAACCGGUGAAUUAACCCACAUGAGUCAUUUUUUUAUCCCGCUAGCAGCUCGGUCGGAUGGUAAUUCGCUUUGGAGAGAAAAAUCUCGAUAAUACUGGAGCCAUUGUGAUGAGAUGUUGAUCAUUCAUGUUCCAGAUGAACUGAAAUUACUUUGUUAUCGUCAUCAGGGGAACAUUUAAGAACUAAUUAUGUACAUUGGCUUCAGCUGGAACUAGCUAACGUUAGCAUGCUAAGCGACGUAUACACUCAUAUAACAUGUGAGGGAUGAUUGAUGGAGACAUUCUCAUGUUGAGGUUGUCGACUCGACUCGUAUCAUCGGGUCCCUUGAAGGGUUAAAAUGCUUCUGUGUGUGUUAAGUGAUGGAGGCAGAUCUGCUUAUUCGUUCCUGACGGGGAAAUCAAAGGCAAGAAAGAUUCCUAUAAACUAAAAUCUGAGAGAGGCGAUUUGCUUAUUGAUUACUUUGAAUCUCGUAGACGUGCAGCGAUACGUGCCGUACCGGAAGGGGUUUGUCUUGAGUAUUUUACAGAGGACACUGGAUAGUGGGUCAGUAUGAAUAAUUUUAUUUAAAAUAUGGACCCCUGGAAAGUUUGUUGUUACCGAGGCAACAAUUUUUAGAUGUUAUACAAUAAUAUACAUAUUAUACAAUGAAAUUCACUCAGAUUUGUUACGGAUCAGCAGAGUUCAUCUUUCUCUACAUGUGAAUCUCUUCUUCUUCUUCUUUCUCCUUCCCAUUAUGGUAUUCAGGUGUUGGUGUGAUCUGAACCAAAGAGAAGAAAAGGAGCCGCUUUAUUAUUCAGAAGCUAAAUUAAUGCGCUGUGAGAGCGGAGCUGCAGCGCUGCGAGCUGAGGGUCAAAUACAUGCAAAUAUUAGCAUGUUGGGAUGCUCUUUAAACACUCCACCGUGCACGUGUGUGUGUGUGUUACGUAACGGGUGUGUUUGGAUUUAAUUAGCUCCCUACUUACAGUCUGAUAUUGGCUAAUGAAGCAGCAGAGUGUCCGUCGGUGAUGAAUGGGAGGCGUCAUCUUAAAACAUGAUAAAUCGGACUCGGCCCCUCUGGACAUCAAAAAACACGAAGCCGCCGGAGUGUGGGAUCAUGGGUAAAUGAGACCUGCAUGUUCCCCUCAGCGGGAAGGCGGGGUGAGGGAGGGAGGGAGGUAUUGCAUUGUGAGUGUGUGGAAAUCACAGGGGCCGAAAGGCACAGUGAGCUGAAAAUGCCAGGCCCCCGAAGAGGAGCCCCGUCAAACAGAGGGCUGAAUAAAACAAAGAGAGCAGGAAGAGGAAGAGGAAGAGCAGCCUCACUCUCAUGUGGAGACACGAGGAUGAAGAAAAACACACACCAGGAAGAAGAAGUACAAAACAUAUACCAGGAAGAAAAACUAUAUAACGUACAACUGGAAGCAGGAAACAACACAAGGAGCAUCAAGAAGCCGCCACAACCUCUGCACACAUGCUCUGUCGUUACCUUCCUCGAUGACCAGCGCUGAUUGGAGUCAGACAGGGUCGCUUCAGAACGUUUUUUCGGUCAACCGACGUGAUUGUUUUUUUCCAAAGGCAGGCGAUCCGCUGACUUAUUGGGAACCCCUUGUUCUACUUGUGUCUUCUGUGAGACUCGCAGCCUUAUGACACAGAGCCAGACAUUUAAUGCACCUACCAAGACAGUGAUUAUCACCUCUGUAAUCCUACAGUUCAUUAGUCCCCCCCCCCGCCUUCCACCCUCGUCAUAAUUAAGUUGGAGAAGCGCUGGACCCCGGGGACCCUCCUCCUCCUCCUCACUAAUGCACACAUUAACACUGAGCCUCUGUUGGACUUAAGGAAGGUGUGUGGAGGAUCUGGUCUCAUUAUGGAGGGGCGGGGGGGUCUUGUUGGCGUUGGGUUUACGCCGUAUUGAUCAGCGGUCAAGGUCAACGAUCACAUGGGAUGUUUUUCCCUGAUUUCGCUUUGUGCUCCAACGUUUUAGUUUUUUUCAAAAUGUUUACAGGGAAUCUUUUUUCUCGAGGUCACCAUAGACCACAGUAUAAUAAUACAUAUAUUUUACAUAUAUAAAUGUAAAAUUAUACUGCUGCUGGUAUGGAUACCGACUCCAGCAAUUCCAUAUCUGAAAAACUUUUAGUUUAAUUAAUAACCUUUGCUCUUAUGCAUUAAAAGGAAAGCAGCAGCAUGAGAUGUAAAGAAAGUUUUAACACUGUUCAGUAAAAGCGUUGACAAUGACAUCAGUGAUGUUAUCUAGUCUAUAAUCUAGAUUCUGUGAAUUGUAAAUAACCUUUCAAUGUCAGAGCUAGUAGCUAACAACUAACCAACGGGUGUUGGUGGAUGGUGCAAGUUGGGUUGUGAUGCAUUCAGGCUCUGCUCAGUGAAGAUGAGAACUUUGUCAUGGUGUGUUCAAGCGUCAUCUGUAAAAUGAAUACAUAACACAAAUACCUUUAAAAUUACUAAGGAAGAUUUGUUUCAAUCCAUAACUGUCAGGCAGGGAGGAGGAGGACUCGGACGCAGAGGGUUCAGCUGAUAUUGCUUUUAUUAAUAACAAGGAAAAA
ensembl:lncRNA